GGAUAGAUGGCUGAGUGGUUGAAGGCAUUAGACUUGAAAUCUAACGUACAUAAAAUGUAUCGUGGGUUCGAAUCCCACUCUAUCCU
rnacentral:tRNA from 1 species